UCCAGAGCCCAUGGACAUCAGUGGCAAAACUCCCAUUGACUUCAGUGGAUUUUGGCCCCAAAGAGCUAGUACACUUGAUCUCGAGGAACACCUGUGGUACGCUCUGCACAUAGCCGCUCCCCUCCCUCCUAGCUGGGGGGAUGGCAGCACACAGAGACGUUUUCCCUUGAGGGUUAGCGGCAGGGUGGGCCUUGCCUAAGUGUGGCAGGGAGCACGGAUCCAAGUGUGUCCCCUGGAGUGGGGCAGCAGGCGCCGACAAUGGUCAUUUUCAAUUGCUGGUUCUCAUGCCCUUACGCAUUGCUGAAAUCACUGACUUCCAAACACGGCAGGGGGCUCCUCCUUUCUCUAGCUAUCCUGUUGUCAAAACAGCUCUGCUGAGGAGAUAAGAGAGCUAAGACCCUGAAGAGGCUCCUUCCUGCCCCCAGCUCGCUAUCUCUCUGAGAGGUUCGUCAGCAGCCUCUGGGAAGGGCAGCAGACAAAUGGAGACCAGGGCCUGGCAUCCUCUGUGAGCGUCCAGUCACGUCGAAAUGGAAUAUUUGGAAUGGCUCGUGAACCCCAGAUAAAAGCCAAGUGAUCAGUGUCUACAAGAUCCUCUGUUUUCUGUCAGCAGAUAUUUCCCACAAGGGUAGAUAUUCAUUCAUG